AUAUGGAAGAGAACUACAAAUUCUAAUGCACAGCAUGUUAUUUUUUUACGGCUCUGAUCUCAGGGCAAUACACCUGAAAGUAAGCUAGUUGGUGAAAGGAGAUGAGUUACGGGUGAGCUCAAGGGACCUGGUGUUCAUUUCCUAAAGUCUCACUUAAAAUUGACAGUGACCGGGACUCUCAAUCAUGUUUUGGCAGAAAAGUCAGGUGGUCCCCAAGGUAAAGGCUGCCAGUAGGUGGUGGAAAAUAAGAAGAGUACAAACUCUUUUCCUCUCCACCCUCCAUGGCCAACCAACCCAAAAGCUCAACCUGCAGAAUGCUGAACACAGCACUUAUACCAGAAGAAAAUAAAACUCUAGCAUAUUUCGUCACAGUGGAUUAUUUCAAUACUGGCGUGCUGGCAGGCCACCAAGACUGCACCUGAAUUCUCUGUUGUGAUUCUAUCUACACUAGAUGAUGUCAUGAAAUACACACUGAAUUUGGUGGCAGAAGACUUGGGUUUGAGACCCACCUCUGCCCCUUAGUAGUUAGGCAAAACCACUUUGUUCAUUCACAUUUUAAAAUCUCUUGACAACCUGCCGGGAAUAUGAAAUGAGGAAGUACUGAUUUACAAGAUGGGGAGCAUCAAGGAGGGAGGACUUUGGGCAUCACGUACCUUACAUGGAGAGGGAACUGCAGGGGCCAACGCCUGGGGGUGAGAGAGCAGGCUGGUGUGCUAGGGUGGCUUUGCGUAGUUUGGCUUGGCUACAGUACUGGAUUUCCACUGGGGAGUGGUAAGGGAUGAGGCUUCUCAAAUCUUCAGCGUCUCCCUUUGUGAAAUGAAAGGUUAGGAUGAUGCGGCCACUGGGGAUGCUUAUGGCUCUACCAUUCCCCGACUCUUUCAUCACAGGAUGAGUUCGACCUGGAUGGGAUUGACCACAUGACCUCAGAGCGUCUGACUGCAAAUGAAUCAAGGGACAUUGAAAUAGGACAGAUAUGUUGGCUGUUCCUCCUACCCCAAAAGAAGCUGGUUGUUUUGGCUGACUCGUUCCACAAUGGCAGGAUUUUGGGGAUCUCCAGUGAGCAGGAGAGCAAGUUACUGUGUAUCUUGCCUUAGAAGAGGAGACCCAAUCAGCACUGAAUCCAGCUGCAGUAAUGCCAUAAGAAGCCAAAACCACAUGGAGAGGCUGUGUGUAGCUGCCUCGACUCAACGCUCAGCUGACAGCCCACAUCAACUGCCAACCAUGUGAGAGAGCCGUUUCGGACUUGCAGCCCAUCUAGCCUUCAGAUGACUCCAGCCCCAACUGAUAGCCAACUGUGACCACGUGAGAAGCACCCAGCUGAGCCCAUUCAACCCGCAGAAGUAUGAAAGAUAAUAAUAAAUUCUCCUGUUAAGCCUCUAAGUUGUUUUGUAGUCAACAGAGGCACAAAGGCAUUGUAUUGUGAUGGGCCCCUCUCCCUAUAGGAUUGGUGAGAAGGGACAGGGGACAGCGAGCCCGUUGGAGUUUUCUCCUUGGUCCCUACUUGUCCAUAAGCAGCACCUGUCCCUCUGUUCCUGUCCUCCAGCAGGUAAAUACCAGGAAAACCUCCCUUGGUGGGGUGGGGAGAUGAGAGACAGUCCAGGAGGCAAGUUUAAUUUGAGGGCUGGAGGUGAGGAAUAAAACGUCCAUUUUGGUCUUAGAUCCAAACCGCGGUUUCCAGUCUAACUUUAUCCUCGCUAUAAAGUUAUUUUCAUCCCAGACUCCUGUGUCUGUUUUUUAAAUUGGUUCAGAAAACUCAGAGGGAAAAAGGAUAAAAUCAUUUUUCUUCUUCAGACCCCAACAAGCAACCUUCUUCCUUUCUCACAGGCUAGAAAGCAAAGUUUAAUUUUUUAAAAAUUUCACCCUGCUUCAUCCUCUAAAAAUCAAGUGUGCCCUCAGUUCUUGUUACGUGGUUUUGUGAAAUUCCCCUCCCCUGUGCCUCCUUUUGGCUUUCCUGGUCCCUGCCCCAGCUCAGAGCCUCACUGCCACAUGGUUUCACUUCUACGGCGGCCUCCCGGUCUGCACCUCCCUACCUCUGCACCCCCCAUCCACGUGCUGUUACAAGCUAAGAUUUCCACCGCCACAUUCACUUAUCACGCUGAUCCCCUUGCUGAAGACCUGAUCUGCCGCCUCGGGUCCAGUUCUAGGCCCUCCAUGAUAAUUCGCUUGAUUAUAGCUAAUAGCCCUUCAAGCUAAUCUUCCAAACACUCUGUAAGGCAACUUUUACUUCACACCAGACUCAUUACUGCUUCCUUCUUUUAUCUUGUCCUCCCUCUUCAGAUUAGAUGGUGUUCGCUCUCUCCCUUCUCUGAAUUCCCCUAGUCCCUUAGGAAGCAGGACUCACAGGGUUCAUGGCUGAUUAUUCUUUGGCCUUCCAAGUGCCCCAAAUUCUAAUUGCUUGAGGACAUGUUCCCCAGUGUGCUCCUCGAUAAACACUAUUGGACUCAUGUUUACUCUCUGUGUAAACAGCCAGUGAGAUUCUGUGGUCUUGAUGGAAUAAACGAUCUAAUGUUUAUUAUGCC